rnacentral:rRNA from 1 species
GACGAACGCUGGCGGCGUGCUUAACACAUGCAAGUCGAACGGAAAGGCCCUGCUUUUGUGGGGUGCUCGAGUGGCGAACGGGUGAGUAACACGUGAGUAACCUGCCCUUGACUUUGGGAUAACGACAGGAAACUGGGGCUAAUACCGGAUAGGAGCUCCUGCUGCAUGGUGGGGGUUGGAAAGUUUCGGCGGUUGGGGAUGGACUCGCGGCUUAUCAGCUUGUUGGUGGGGUAGUGGCUUACCAAGGCUUUGACGGGUAGCCGGCCUGAGGGGGUGACCGGCCACAUUGGGACUGAGAUACGGCCCAGACUCCUACGGGAGGCAGCAGUGGGGAAUAUUGCACAAUGGGCGGAAGCCUGAUGCAGCAACGCCGCGUGCGGGAUGACGGCCUUCGGGUUGUAAACCGCUUUCGCCUGUGACGAAGCGUGAGUGACGGUAAUGGGUAAAGAAGCACCGGCUAACUACGUG